rnacentral:rRNA from 1 species
UCUACGGGAUGCUGCAGUGAGGAAUAUUGGUCAAUGGACGAGAGUCUGAACCAGCCAAGUAGCGUGAAGGAUGACUGCCCUAUGGGUUGUAAACUUCUUUUAUAAAGGAAUAAAACGAGGCACGUGUGCCUUUUUGCAUGUACUUUAUGAAUAAGGAUCGGCUAACUCCGUGCCAGCAGCCGCGGUAAUACGGAGAAUCCGAGCGUUAUCCGGAUUUAGUGGGUUUAAAGGGAGCGUAGAUGGGUUGUUAAGUCAGUUGGGAACGUUUGCGGCUCAACCGUAAAAUUGCAAUUGAUACUGGCAGUCUUGAGUACAGUUGAGGUAGGCGGAAUUCGUGGUGUAGCGGUGAAAUGCUUAGAUAUCACGAAGAACCCCGAUUGCGAAGGCAGCUUACUAAACUGUGACUGACAUUGAUGCUCGAAAGUGUGGGUAUCAAACAGGAUUAGAUACCCUUGUAGUC